rnacentral:rRNA from 1 species
UGGGGAAUAUUGCACAAUGGGCGCAAGCCUGAUGCAGCCAUGCCGCGUGUAUGAAGAAGGCCUUCGGGUUGUAAAGUACUUUCAGCGGGGAGGAAGGGAGUAAAGUUAAUACCUUUGCUCAUUGACGUUACCCGCAGAAGAAGCACCGGCUAACCCCGUGCCAGCAGCCGCGGUAAUACGGAGGGUGCAAGCGUUAAUCGGAAUUACGGGGCGUAAAGCGCACGCAGGCGGUUUGUUAAGUCAGAUGUGAAAUCCCCGGGCUCAACCUGGGAACUGCAUCUGAUACUGGCAAGCUUGAGUCUCGUAGAGAGGGGUAGAAUUCCAGGUGUAGCGGUGAAAUGCGUAGAGAUAUGGAGGAAUACCGGUGGCGAAGGCGGACCCCUGGACGAAGACUGACGCUCAGGUGCGAAAGCGUGGGGAGCAAACAGG